CAGCACCUCAAGUGGUCAGGAUGAUUAUUGGGCCUAAAGCAUCCGUAGCCGGCGCUGUAAGUUUUCGGUUAAAUCUGUGCGCUCAACGUACAGGCUGCCGGGAAUACUGCAGCGCUAGGAAGUGGGAGAGGUAGACGGUACUCGGUAGGAAGGGGUAAAAUCCUUUGAUCUAUUGAUGACCACCUGUGGCGAAGGCGGUCUACCAGAACACGUCCGACGGUGAGGGAUGAAAGCUGGGGGAGCAAACCGGAUUAGAUACCCGAGUAGUCC
rnacentral:rRNA from 1 species